ensembl:lncRNA
GCAGGGUGCAGCAGGUGUUUAUUGCAAAGGACCACAGGAAGAGGCAGGUAGCUGGGUCCAGGGGCAGGCAGAAGGUUAUACACAGGAGGAGGCAGGUAGCUGGGUCCAGGGGCAGGCAGAAGGUCAUACACAGGAGAAGGCAGGUAGCUGGGUCCAGGGGCAGGCAGAAGGUCAUACACAGGAGAAGGCAGGUAGCUGGGUCCAGGGGCAGGCAGAAGGUCAUACACAGGAGGAGGCAGGUAGCUGGGUCCAGGGACAGGCAGAAGGUUAUACACACGAGGGGGCAUGUAGCUGGGUCCAGGGGCAGGCAGAAGGUCAUACACAGGAGGAGGCAUGUAGCUGGGUCCAGGGACAGGCAGAAGGUCAUACACAGGAGAAGGCAGGUAGCUGGGUCCAGGGGCAGGCAGAA